UACGUAGGGGGCAAGCGUUGUCCGGAAUUAUUGGGCGUAAAGAGCUCGUAGGCGGUUUGUCGCGUCUGCUGUGAAAACUCGGGGCUUAACCCCGGGCCUGCAGUGGGUACGGGCAGACUAGAGUGCGGUAGGGGAGACUGGAAUUCCUGGUGUAGCGGUGAAAUGCGCAGAUAUCAGGAGGAACACCGGUGGCGAAGGCGGGUCUCUGGGCAUUAACUGACGCUGAGGAGCGAAAGCAUGGGGAGCGAACAGG
rnacentral:rRNA from 1 species